CUGGCAGUAAACGGUGCACGCUUGGUGUGGGAGGGUUCGACCCCUUCUGUGCCGGAGCUAACGCGUUAAGCGUGCCGCCUGGGGAGUACGGUCGCAAGAUUAAAACUCAAAGAAAUUGAC
rnacentral:rRNA from 1 species